rnacentral:rRNA from 1 species
GACAGAGGUGCCAAGCGUUAGGCGGAAUCACUGGGCUUAAAAGCGUGUGUAGGCGGAUCGUUAAGUACCUUGUGAAAUCCCACGGCUCAACCGUGGAACUGCUCGGUAUACUGGCGGUCUUGAGCCACCUAGGGGCAAGCUGGAACAACGGUGGAGCGUGAAAUGCGUAGAUAUCGCUUGGAACGCCAACGGUGAAAACAGGUUGCUGGGGGGUGUGCUGACGCUGAGACACGAAAAGCCAGGGGGAGCGAAACGGGG